CAUAGAUUAAGAGUUGAAAGGACAUCAGGAAUCAUUUCAUUCGAUCCCCUCGCUUUAUAGAUAAGGAAAUGAAUCCAAGAAAGGGUGAGUCCAACAUCAGCAACAAAUAAUGUACUUUGAUAAAAAUGCUACUCUGAAAGCUCAUCAAUGAAGAAAAGGAUUCAUUAUACUUUGUUAUGUUGUGGCUGGAAAUGGAUGAAGAGAAGACAGAACUUUGUUGAUUAAAGAAAUAAAAAUUAAUUUAAAAAUAGGUAAGCAAAAAUAAAGGAGGCUCUGUGGAU